UGAAGGCGGAUUCCCUUUUCUGGAAGGUUUUACCCUUCCUCUUCCUCAGGAGGGUUUUAUUCCACCUUUUCAGGACAAUUCACAGUUCUAGAGUAUUUUUCCUGACCUUUGGGCAGGAUUUACCAUUUCAAAAGAUUUUGCCAUCAUUCCCAGCAGAAUUAUUUCUUGUGGAUGCGUUUAUCCGAACUUUUAAUGAAAAUUCUCUUUCCUGGAAGGUUACAUCCUCCUUUUGAGAAAUGGAACAGUGAAAGUCUUCUGGGAGAUGUUCUUCUCUUCUGAGAUCCAGGGAGGAGCAAGGCCAUUCCCACCCCCACCCCUUUCCCCACGGGAAGCCAGCACAGAGGACCUACAAGGCUGGAUUGGACAGGGCCAUCUCGACUGGAAGAUCCUUGAGUCUUGACUACCAAGUGGCUUCUGCGAGGUGUUUAUCUCAACAUCAGAAUGUUCCACCACCCCCUGCUUUCAGCAUGGUUCUCAGCAGUCCAUCGGAUCACUUGUCGUUCCCAGAAGCUGGUGCAUGAUAGGGGCUAUGAUAUACCCACCCAAUGCCAUGCUCUUUGGCCCACGUGUCUAUGAGGCUGUUUUUAAAAUGACUUCCAUUAUGUGACUCAGUUCUGCCUGGGCUUCCAUGUCAACAGAAGACCAGUUUUUCGAGGCCUAAUACAGUGCUAUGUGUGGUGCCAUUGGGCACGGGAUAUGUUUCAGGGCUCCAGGUGGUUGCUUCCACCACAGAAAGCACAUAAUGCUUGUCACUGUGAGUUCAUGGCUGAGUGACAUAAUCAGUGUGCCAGGCAUCUCCACAGUUAAACUCCUGCCGUUACCCUUUGUGCCAGAGAGGUCUCAUUCUCUUGUCUUGUUUACCUGUAGCACUUCAUUCACAUUUGUGAAUUAGUUGUGCAGUAGCAACCAUGGUUGAGUCCGUGCCUCCAUCUGGAGACCAUUUAUAUGUAUAUAUAGGCUGAAAUUCUGAGAAAUAAUUAACGUCUGGUUCCAACCUCCUAAGAAUACGUAGUGGGGGUCUCUGGUGGUCGUGGGAUGAAGGCUGGUAAUUAUUAUCACUGUGAAUUUCCAGCCUUAAAAGGUGGUGCAGAACAAACCUGUUCCCACUGACGGUACAUGGAGCUGAGCCAUCUGUUUUGCUGCCUUAUCUG
ensembl:lncRNA